rnacentral:rRNA from 1 species
UUCGCCUACGGGGGGCAGCAGUGGGGAAUAUUGCACAACGGGGGAAACCCUGAUGCAGCGACGCCGCGUGAGCGAUGAAGUAUUUCGGUAUGUAAAGCUCUAUCAGCAGGGAAGAAAAUGACGGUACCUGACUAAGAAGCCCCGGCUAACUACGUGCCAGCAGCCGCGGUAAUACGUAGGGGGCAAGCGUUAUCCGGAUUUACUGGGUGUAAAGGGAGCGUAGACGGCGAUGCAAGCCAGAUGUGAAAGCCCGGGGCUCAACCCCGGGACUGCAUUUGGAACUGUAUAGCUAGAGUGUCGGAGAG